CCAGGCUGGCCUCGAACUCACAGAGAUUCACCUGCCUCUGCCUCCCGAGUGCUAGAAUUAAAGGUGUGCGCCCACCACCGCCCGGCUCAGUUUUUGUUUUUUGUUUUAAUAAAUAAAACUGUCUGCAGUAAUACUUCAUUUAUCUACAGGUUAUAAUGAAAACUGUAGCCAUGUAGCUCACAUGAGCAUUCCCCAAAAAAACAAAAGCAGGCACAAAUUACAGAAACAGAAGACAUAAGACUCACGCACAAAGGUCCACGAACACUGAAACUGCCUUAGUUCCCAUAUCAAGCCAGCCUACUCAAUCAAGAGUGUGAUUUUACCAAGUCUGGUACUCUGCUUUCCUCACAAAUAAACAGUAUUAGACCAAGUAAAUCAAAAAGGGUCAGUAUUCCACUGCUAAAUGCAAGCACAUAGCUAUUAUAAAAUCCAAUUUAAAGGCAUGAUUAGACUGUUCUCUUUAGCACAAUCCUGUGAAUAUUUUCUUAAAAGUAUCUCUGUAACAAGGCAAAGAGUAAUGGCUGACAUGCAAAGAGACAAUCUCAUGACACCUAAAAUAUAAAACUGUUUUAAAUUUUUACAUUCUAAAAUCAGUGUGUGGGCUGGAGUGUGGCAGAAUGUAGAAUGCUUGCCUAGCAUGCACAAGGCCCUGGGUUCUACCUCUAGCACUGCAGAAAACAACAAUCAAAGCAAGGGAACAUCUUUUAGAAUAACUGCCAAGUAAACAGACUAGAAUAAGAACAGGUUUGUGUUGCUAAGGGCUCAGCAGCUCACAGCCAUCCCAGGGUGUUCUGAAGCAGGUACAAAAGAGGUGUUUGGGGAUGGAGAGAUGGCUCAGAGGUUAAGAGCACUGGCUGUUCUUCCAGAGGUCCUGAGUUCAAUUCCCAGCACCCACAUGGUGGCUCACAACCAUCUAUAAUGAGAUCUGGUGCCCUCUUCUGGCCUGCAGACAUACAUGCUAUAUACAUAAUAAAUAAAUAAAUCUAAAAAAAUAAAUAAAAAAAAGAGGUGUUUGGUGUUUUCAGUUGGCCACCACAUUGACAAGGAGGAUGUAUUAAAAAACAAGACAUUAGGCCGGGUGGUGGUGGUGGUGGCGGCAGCGGCGCCGCACGCCUUUAAUCCCAGCACUCGGGAGACAGAGCCAGGUGGAUCUCUAUGAGUUCGUGGCCAGCCUGGGCUACCAAGUGAGUUCCAGGAAAAGGUGCAAAGCUACAGAGAAACCCUGUCUCAAAAAACCAAAAAACAAAACAAAGCAAAAAAACCAAGAGAUUAAGCAGCUAAGCUAGGAAUGAGACACAAGUCUGCAUGUCUUCAAAAUUUAUGAUUGCUCUUCUAACAGAAGCUCCAGAUAGUAGAAAUGCAAUUCUAGAAAAGACAUUACAGAACAUAAUCAUGCCACUCUGAUCUCGAUUAGGCUACUCCAUCCCUAUGCUGAGAUUCUACUGAAUUUGAAAGACAAACUUCAAGUCUGGCGUAGUGGUUCCUGCUUGUAAUACCAGCACUCUGGAAGCAUUGAGCGUUCAAGGUCAGCAGCUGCUGCCAUGGCAUGCAUCGGUUAGGACCAGAGAAGGACAAGGCCGCUGAAGGACAAGGUCUGCCACCCCAGAAGGACAGCUGAGACCUUGCAAAGCCCACAGGGACGGACAGUCUUGGAUGCUUAAGGAAAGCAGCCAAGAGGGCAGGAAGUGCUGCUUCUAAACACCGUGUUUCCCUUCAUGACAGCCCCUGCUGG